AUUGAACGCUGGCGGCAUGCCUUACACAUGCAAGUCGAACGGCAGCACGGGGCAACCUGGUGGCGAGUGGCGAACGGGUGAGUAAUGCAUCGGAACGUGCCAUUGAGUGGGGGAUAACGUAGCGAAAGUUGCGCUAAUACCGCAUAUUCUGUGAGCAGGAAAGCAGGGGACCGCAAGGCCUUGCGCUCUUUGAGCGGCCGAUGUCAGAUUAGCUAGUUGGUGAGGUAACGGCUUACCAAGGCAACGAUCUGUAGCGGGUCUGAGAGGAUGAUCCGCCACACUGGAACUGAGACACGGUCCAGACUCCUACGGGAGGCAGCAGUGGGGAAUUUUGGACAAUGGGCGCAAGCCUGAUCCAGCCAUGCCGCGUGAGUGAAGAAGGCC
rnacentral:rRNA from 1 species